CUAAGCGCAGCACACACAAGCCAUUCCAGAUCAUGUGAUCACUCAAAUGCUGUGAUAUGAAUUGGAGAGCUGUUUGGAGAGAAUUUAGAACCAGACUUCUACCAGGCAAAAUGGCAUUCAUCCUAGGCUAGAGAGAAUCGGAGUGAUGAGCAGAGUGCACAAAAGAUGUCCUGUUAUCAUCACCCAAAGGAAUGUUUUAAUUGGUCGCUCAUCCUUUUCAGAAAGCUGAGUCAUUCUCCAGUUAGCUGUAAGGUAGAUUCUUGCAAUCAGAUAGAAAUCAAAUAUCAGACAUCCUAUUUUCUGUGUUUUUGUAUCCCCCACAAUGUCUUGGCAGUGGUUUUGGGAGAGAUAUAAAUAAAUGAAUGGUUGGAUAAGCCAAUGGAAUUAAACUUUUCAAACUGAGGUGUGGAGACAGAGGGAAAAUAACAUGAGAAUGGAAUAAUCUGUAAUAAAGGAGAGAGCAGGAUUUCUCAGCCUCAGCAGUAAUGAUAACUUGGGGAGGAAAGUUUUUGUUUCUGUUUAGAGGGAGGAGAGUAUGAGCUACACUGUGCUAUGGAGGAUGUUUGGUAGCAACCUUGACCUGUAUACACCAGAUGCUGGUAGUGACCACAAGAUAUGUCUCCAGUCAUUGCCAAAUGUCCUUCGGUGCCAAAGAAGAGAAGCAAGAGCGGUGUGUGGAGUAAGGCAAAAUCACCCCUGGUUGAGAAUCACUGAACCAAUUUCUUUUUAGCCAGAAGAUCUGGGAAUAAUCAGAGUUCUUUUAAUAAACACGAGGCAGAAUGUA